CCGGGCUUUCCGCCAAGUGCCGCCGGGAAGGAAGGAAGGAAGGCAGGAGCUCCUCGGGGCUCCAAAGCGCAGCGCCUUCCAAGGGAGAGAAGGGAGCCACGCACGCACGCACGCACGGCCCUCUCUGGGGGCUGGAGGAAAUGGCCAAGCAGGAGAGGGCGAGGGACACACCGUGGAGGAGAAGGAAGGCGGGUUGGCAUCGCUUCCAUCGCCUGGACUCCAAGGAGUUGUAACGUCACCGGGUCUCCAAAUACACGAGAGUCAUAGUACACGGUAGAAGUUGGAUACCACUUUCACUGCAAGGCUCAAAGCUACGGGAUUGUAUGGGUUACUGUGAGUUUUCUGGGCUGUAUGGCCAUAUUCCAGAAGCAUCCUCUCGUUACGUUUCGCCCCCGCAUCUAUGGCAGGCACCCUCUGAGGUUGUGACGUCUGUUGGAAAUUAGGAAAGUGGGUUUAUAUAUCUGUGGAGGGUCCAGGGUGGGAGAAAGAACUCUUGUCUGUGUAAGGCUGGUGUGAAUGUUUCAGUUGGCCACCUUGAUUAGCAUUGAAUAGCCUUGCAGCUUCAAAGUCUGGUUACUUCCCGCCUGGGGGAAUGUUGGAAUUCCUCUGUUUUCUGAAUGUUGCUCUUUAUUUACUGUCUUGAUUAUCGAGUUUUUAAAAUACAGGUAGCCAGAUUUUUGUUCAUUUUCAUGGUUUCCUCCUUUCUGUUGAAACUGCGUACAUGCUUGUGGAUUUCAGAAAACUGAGGAAUUUCAGACAUGAAUCAAUCAGGGCCAGCUAACACCUCCCAACAAAGGAUUCCCCCUGGCAGUAAGCAGCUAGACGGUGAAGCUGCAAGGCUAUUCAGUGCUAAUUAGGGUGGCCAAUUGCAACAUUCACACCUGCCUCAAGCAGACAAGCUGCCUCAUCACAGCAGAGAAUGGAUCCUAUUUUAAAUCCAGUUUCUGCCUCCUGCAGAAUUCCGGGGUUGGUAGUUUGGUGAGGCCCAAAACCUGUCUGGCUGAGCUGUUUAAAGGCCCCUCCCUAAAGUGGAUUUGAAGUGGAUCUAAACUCUAGUGUGAUGAGGUCCAAGAGUUCUUUCUCCCACCUUGGACAUUCCACAGAUAUAUAAACCCCACCUGACUAGCUUCCAACAGACAUCACAACCACUGAGGAUGCCUACAACAGAUGUGGGCAAAACAUCAGGAGCGAAUGCUUUUGGAAACAUGGCCAUACAGCCUGGAAAACUCAUAGCAACCCAGUGAUUCUGGCCACGAAAGCCUUCGACAACACAAUAAAUUCAUUGAUAGUUCAGUUGG